GAUGAACGCUGGCGGCGUGCCUAAUACAUGCAAGUCGAGCGAACAGACGAGGAGCUUGCUCCUCUGACGUUAGCGGCGGACGGGUGAGUAACACGUGGAUAACCUACCUAUAAGACUGGGAUAACUUCGGGAAACCGGAGCUAAUACCGGAUAAUAUAUUUAACCGCAUGGUUCAAUAGUGAAAGACGGUUUUGCUGUCACUUAUAGAUGGAUCCGCGCCGCAUUAGCUAGUUGGUAAGGUAACGGCUUACCAAGGCAACGAUGCGUAGCCGACCUGAGAGGGUGAUCGGCCACACUGGAACUGAGACACGGUCCAGACUCCUAAGGGAGGCAGCAGUAGGGAAUCUUGCGCAAGGGGCGAAAGCCUGACGGAGCAACGCAGCGUGAGUGAUGAAGGUCUUCGGAUCGUAAAACUCUGUUAUUAGGGAAGAACAAAUGUGUAAGUAACUAUGCACGUCUUGACGGUACCUAAUCAGAAAGCCACGGCUAACUACGUG
rnacentral:rRNA from 1 species